ensembl:lncRNA
AACUACUCUCAACUGCAAGUAAACAAGGUCUCCUUACUAGCUGGAAAUGCGGUACUGAAUUGAUUUUAAGCAGUAAAUGUAAGCCAAUCUCUGCUUUUGUGAUUUUCUGGUUGCGAUCUAAGAACUAGUAACAAAUACUAGAACUUUGGGACUUCCUCAGAAGUCUUGUAAACUGAAAUGUUUAUAAUCAAAGCCGACAAGCUUCUUCCUUCGGAGGGAUCUGCAAAUCAUAGGGUGCCACACAUCCACAUUCAGCUCUGAUGCAUGUGUUAAGAUAAAAACAAAUGUCUUGCAGGUAUUUUUUGAUGCUUGAUCUUGCUAUUAUGACACCCCCUUACUAAACAAAAGUAUGCCUUUCUGUGGUCCAUAUUAAAUGUUAACUAGCCUGUAAAAUCUACAAAUUUGACCGCAAAACUAUGGAAUCACAAUACAAUUACUGUUAGCUGAAGUGCUUUACCGGAAAUCUGACACAUAGUUUGAAAACGGUGGCGCUUACGUGAACAAUAAGGUGGAUAGAACAUGUUUGGCUGGAGAUUCAGAUACUCCAUGUGGGAUACCAGGAUACAAGUUACAUUUAAUCAUUUUGCAGAUAUUUUAUCCAAAUCGACUUUCAAAUGAGAAUAGAAGCAAUCAGGCCAGCGAGAGAAAAAUAACAGUAUACAAGUGUCAUGACAAGUUGUAAUGUGUAGUUCACUGAAGGAGAGACAUGACUGCUUAUAAAAAAUACAGGUCACAUGACAAGAACAAACCAAUGGGAAACAAUUGACUAAGACAACCAAUCAGAACAUGACACGAUAACCAAGAGGAACCAAUAGCAUAAAGUCAAGAGGCAAGGGAAGCAUGACACUAACAGCAUGAAACAAACUACCAAAUAAAAGACAAGAAAACAAUGAACAAGAAACAAAACCCAAAACAGACCUCUAAGGACGGCUCCUGAUGCCCAAACAAACAAAAUCCAAAAAGUAUUGGGGGGUGGUGGAGUAGAGGAGGAACAGACCAUGAAGCCAAAGGGGACCUGUGUCGUGGAGCAGAUCCAGAGCAGCAUGGAGCCAUGGCGGUGCAGGCUGAGUGGGGAGCCAUGGAGGUGCAGGCCUAGCUGGAUGGCAGAGUGUCACUGGGAGAGCAAGAAACCAAGGUGGAGCAGAUACAUGGAAAGACCCCUUGUCUGUGGCAGAAUAGGCAGAGAGGUUUUGAAUGGUCUCCGUGGCCAUGACAGGACAAACAGUCACCGUGGCCACCAGAUCCAGUCUGUGUCCAGAUCAGAGGGUCACUGCAGUCACCUGGAUCCAGUACGUAUCCAGACCAGAUGGUGGAUCAGCACCUAGAAAGGACCUCUACUGCCCUGAAAGACAGCGGAGACCAGGACAACUAGAGCCCCAGAUGCAGAUCCCCUGUAAAGACCUUGUCUCAGAGGAUCACCAGGACAAGACCACAGGAAACAGAUGAUUCUUCUGCACAAUCUGACUUUGCUGCAGCCUGGAAUUUAACUACCGGUGUCGUCUGGUCAGAGGAGAACUGGCCCCCCAACUGAGCCUGGUUUCUCCCAAG